rnacentral:rRNA from 1 species
GGGUAGCAAUAUUCUGAAGUUGGAGUGGCGCAAGGGUGCGUAACACGUGGGUAAUUUGCCGUGAAGUUGGGGAUAACUCGCUGAAAGGCGAGCUAAUACCGAAUGUGAUCACUGGAAGGCAUCUUCCGAUGAUUGAAGUUGGGGACCGUAAGGCCUGACGCUUCACGAUAAGCCCGCGGCCUAUCAGCUAGUUGGUGAGGUAACGGCUCACCAAGGCUAAGACGGGUAGCUGGUCUGAGAGGACGACCAGCCACACUGGAACUGAGACACGGUCCAGACACCUACGGGUGGCAGCAGUCGAGAAUUUUUCUCAAUGGGCGAAAGCCUGAAGGAGCGACGCCGCGUGGGGGAUGAAUGGCUUCGGCCCGUAAACCCCUGUCAUUUGCGAACAAACCUUUUCAUUUAAUAGGUGAAAAGCUGAUUGUAGCGGAAGAGGAAGGGACGGCUAACUCUGUGCCAGCAGCCGCGGUAAUACAGAGGUCCCAAGCGUUGUUCGGAUUCACUGGGCGUAAAGGGUGCGUAGGUGGUUGGGUAAGUCUGAUGUGAAAUCUCCGAGCUCAACUCGGAAAUGGCAUUGGAUACUAUCCGGCUAGAGGGUCGGAGGGGGGACUGGAAUUCUCGGUGUAGCAGUGAAAUGCGUAGAUAUCGAGAGGAACACCAGUGGCGAAGGCGAGUCCCUGGACGACUCCUGACACUGAGGCACGAAAGCUAGGGGAGCAAACAGGAUUAGAUACCCUGGUAGUCCUAGCUGUAAACUGUGCACGUUUGCUGUAAAAGGAAUCGACCCCUUUUGUGGCGUAGCUAACGCGUUAAACGUGCCGCCUGGGAAGUACGGUCGCAAGAUUAAAACUC